CACAGAGGCUGGAGGAAUAGGAGAACUUCAGACAUCCAAGAAAAAGCCAGUGACUGUUCCUGAGGGCGCCUGUUAAGAGCUGGCUUUUUGGCUGUGGUGACCAGUCAGUCACGACCACUCUUCCGAGAGCAACACCAAGUGGAAACCCCGCCAAGUGGGCUUUUCAGGAACCCUCUCACCACCCAAGGCCUUUGGAUCUUAUAUCUAACAAAUUACAUGUUACAUUAUUUUUUAAAAAACAGGUUAGUGACAACUAAGAUAGUCUCUCCAGAAUUAGAGUCUGAUGUCAGAUUCAGAAAAUCCCCCGUUCCUUGGGAAUUCCCAUGUCACUCAUUCUGCAUUAAUGAUAUUUAUUCUCUCUCAUUGUUUUAUUCUUAAAAAAUAGCUCCCCUGGUUGCAAUGUGAUGUUAAGUAUAUUACAUGUCAGUUCAUAUAUUACAGCUCGCACCACUCCUGGGUAUAUGUUUCCAAAUAGCUCUCACUCCACAGUUCCAGUUCCACAUUAAAUAUGGGCUGCCAUGAGUGGAGCCCGAAAGGGUUGUCUGUUCCAUUCCCGCUUCUUGUUUUCCCUGGAAGUAUUUUCCCCUCCUAUUUUAUACUCCUCAGGGAAGAUGUGCCCUCCAGUAAGAAAAGUCUACCUGGGGAAGGUAGAAUGUGUUCUUGCUCUAGAGUUUCUUGAGGGGAGGUGAGAAGGGGCAGCUGUUUGACAGAGUGCAUGCAGCCUUCCAGGGGCUGGCACUGGUUUGGCACAUGAGUGGACACCCUGACUAGGGGAUGUGGGAUGCCAGAAACCAUCAAGAUCCUUGGAAAAAAGCCAAAAUAUCCUUCCUUCUGCAACAUGAACAUCAAAAUGAGUUUUUGUCUUCUGUGGCUAUCAUGCUCUUGACCAUCUGUGUUGUAGGGUCAUUAACAGACAGUUUCAG
rnacentral:lncRNA from 1 species